rnacentral:rRNA from 1 species
UGGGGAAUUUUGGACAAUGGGCGCAAGCCUGAUCCAGCCAUGCCGCGUGCGGGAAGAAGGCCUUCGGGUUGUAAACCGCUUUUGUCAGGGAAGAAAUCUUCUGAGUUAAUACCUCGGGAGGAUGACGGUACCUGAAGAAUAAGCACCGGCUAACUACGUGCCAGCAGCCGCGGUAAUACGUAGGGUGCAAGCGUUAAUCGGAAUUACUGGGCGUAAAGCGUGCGCAGGCGGUUUUGUAAGACAGAGGUGAAAUCCCCGGGCUCAACCUGGGAACUGCCUUUGUGACUGCAAGGCUUGAGUGUGGCAGAGGGGGAUGGAAUUCCGCGUGUAGCAGUGAAAUGCGUAGAUAUGCGGAGGAACACCGAUGGCGAAGGCAAUCCCCUGGGCCUGCACUGACGCUCAUGCACGAAAGCGUGGGGAGCAAACAGGAUUAGAUACCCCUGGUAGUCCACGCCCUAAACGAUGUCAACUGGUUGUUGGGAAGGUUCCUUCUCAGUAACGUAGCUAACGCGUGAAGUUGACCGCCUGGGGAGUACGGCCGCAAGGUUGAAACUCAAAUGAAUUGACGGGGUCAUAGCUGUUU